GAUGCCGAGGAUGAUCAGGAAGAUUCGCCGGGAGAUGAGGUUUUGGCGAUAGAUUAAGGUAGGAGAGGAAGAAUGGUGAGCCCGUGGAGAGAGGCGGAUGGGCGAAUUUUGUUUUCGGAUUUUGCUCCAUCUCUUUCCUUAUCAGAGAGUCUUUUUCUACGAUCGUUGUUAGAUUUUCGAAGGUUGUCGAAUAGUUAUUAGUUUUAUUUUAUAGAGUCGUUUCCUAAACGUUGUCAAACUUAUUCUAUAGAAAUUGUAUCAUAAAAUACAACCAUGUUUAACUCUAAUAAUGUCUUGUAAAAUAAUGCCGAGUUUAACUUUAUGAAAGCUGCUUCGUCAAAUGUUGCCAGCUUUAGUUUUAUGAAUGUUUUUCUGAAAAAUAAUAUCGAGUUUAAUUUUACGAAAGUUAUUCUGCAAAA
rnacentral:lncRNA from 1 species